CACGUAGUUAGCCGGUGCUUAUUCUUCAGGUACCGUCAUUAGAUCUCUGUAUUAGAAAGACCCGUUUCUUCCCUGACAAAAGAGCUUUACAACCCGAAGGCCUUCUUCACUCACGCGGCAUUGCUGGAUCAGGCUUGCGCCCAUUGUCCAAAAUUCCCCACUGCUGCCUCCCGUAGGAGUCUGGACCGUGUCUCAGUUCCAGUGUGGCUGGUCGUCCUCUCAGACCAGCUACUGAUCGAUGCCUUGGUAGGCUUUUACCCUACCAACUAGCUAAUCAGAUAUCGGCCGCUCCAGGAGCAUGAGGUCUUGCGAUCCCCCACUUUCAUCCUUAGAUCGUAUGCGGUAUUAGCGUAACUUUCGCUACGUUAUCCCCCACUCCAGGGUACGUUCCGAUAUAUUACUCACCCGUUCGCCACUCGCCGCCAGGUUGCCCCGCGCUGCCGUUCGACUUGCAUGUGUAAGGCAUGCCGCCAGCGUUCAAUCUGAGCCAGGAU
rnacentral:rRNA from 1 species